rnacentral:lncRNA from 1 species
CCUGGGUUUCCGAAAAUGGGGCGUGGCCCACAUGUAGCAGAGGUGCAGAGAAAUACAGCCCCCAGCUUGGCUGGGACAGGAUGGGCGUGGUCAUGGCCCAUUGCAAGCGGCAGGUGAAGUGCCUGGGCGAGGUCUGGGCAAAGGGAAGUGGACGGCCCAGGUGAAGAGAAGCGAGGCAGAAAUUAGGGAGGGGGCGUGGCCGAUUUAGAGAAGCAAUCAGAGUGAAUAGGGCGUAGCUGUGGGGACAGGCGUGACAUGGAAGAGCAUAGGGGCCAGUCAGGGAGGAGACCUUGGAGGGAGAGAAAUGGAGGGUGCCUGAGGGGGAUGUGCUAAAGCCAAAGCACAUUUGCCCCCUCCCAGCGGGUAGGGGAGUGGUGGAGGCGGAGCACAGAGGUGUGGCCUGUCAGAGAAGGCGUUGUUACGACAGCACAGAGAGUACGGCCCUAGGAGCAGGACCCUGCACACAGCUGAGCUCAGAGGCUCCAGUCUGGCCACGAGAAUGCAAUGGGAGGUAUUCUUCAUUGAUCUUACUCGAAGUUGAGAACAUGUAUUUUGACUCUGAGAAAUGUGAGGGCCAGGCCUGCUCACUUGUGUGAGGGUGCAGGCUCUUAUGAUCUGGCUUUCAUUCUGGCUUCCUCUCUGUUGGAGUCUUCUCUUCCUCCCAUUUGGAAGUCAAGUCAAGACUUCUGCUCCUGCCCAGCCUGGACCACCUUGGUCUUGGACACUGGAAGCAAACCUGUGCUUUUUAAUUCUGCUUCCUGUUUGGAGGUCAACUGCAGUGAGGUCUCUAUACCACAGAGUGUUGUUGGCGUCUCACAUGGCCAUUCAUCAGCUCAAUACAAACAAGUCUUCACGGAGGUGGAGUUUCCUCCUCACCUGUUGCUAAACCAGGCAGCGUGGAUUGGCAUAUUCACUGACUUCAUGGCACGAAGGCCUACAAAAGCGGAACAACUUUUCACCAGUGCAAAAAUGUUCCAAAAGAUACUCUCUCUGUCCAAUACACUUGUAAGUGCAUUCUAGAAUAUAAAAAAUAGAGAGAGAUAAAUGUUCUGUUGAAAGAUAAUCUCCCAAAAUAUAAGUUUUUAUGUAAGACAGUGCUCUCAAGUCAUAAAUGGUAAAUUCUUCUGAAAGUCACAGAGGAAAUUACUCUUAAGACCUCUGUCUUGUUAAGUUAUCAUAGUAAUAAAAUCUCAACCUACUAAGGUAACUUUCUAAACAUGUCAGAGCUUGAAAGUCUCUUGUAAACCUCUAAAUACAAAGAAAACCUAAGUUUAUUUAUUGAAGUUCAAGCUGUAGAAAUCUGACAGCUUUGAGGACUUUAAAAGAUACUGAAUCAACUGCUAUAAAAGGAAAACAGUCUUGACAAUUUUAAUUCAUAUAGUAUUACAACUGAAGAAACUAUUUGAUGAUUUAUGAAGGGCACAUUUGCCGGCUGUGUUUUGGAGUUUUUGCAUGAAAAGUGAAUUUGUACUCAGACUGUUUGCAUCUUCAAAGACCCAUGAGCUUGGCUGUAGGGGCAUGCAACAUUAGGUUUGGAAAUAUAUGAAAUAAAUAUUGCUAUGCCUUAAGAAUGUGAUUUAACUGUCAAUUUGCUUUGAUACGUAGGUUUAAAGUUUUGGGUUAUUUUAUAUAUGCUAUUCAUGUAUAUCUGUAUUGGAGGCAUCCACUCGCUGCUUUAGAAGCUCCUGGAGAGUAGAAAUUGUCUCCAUGUAGCUCUCAGCAAUUAAUAAACACUGAAGGCAACUGGG